rnacentral:sRNA from 1 species
UACCCCGGCCUAUUCUGGCAAGGGGAGGAGGUUAUAGCUAUGAAGUUUCUUCUUGAUUUUACUUUUGCAAUCAUAGCAGAGGUAGCUGCACACUACUUCUGUCAAUGGCUUGAUUGUAAAAUUGCCAAAAAAGACAGUAAGCCUACCCGUUAAUUCGUAUAGAAACGUAAAAGAAAACCACUAGCCUGCACGCUAGUGGUUUUUGAUUAUAGC